rnacentral:lncRNA from 1 species
UUUAUCCUUUUCAAUUGCAGAGCUGAGAUGUCUCCAAAUUGGGUAGCAACUGAAGGAACUCGAUGAGCAGUUUUUCUCUUGUGGAUUUAAUUCAGACAUAUGUCUAUAUAAAAAUUGCAUUUUUGGGGUACUAUUGUAAUUUCUGGAAUUGCGUUUAUCGAAUCUGAAAUGAAACUCAAAUAUUUUGUUUGUUACGUUCUUGUUGC